rnacentral:rRNA from 1 species
GACGGGGGAUGCAAGUGUUAUCCGGAAUCACUGGGCGUAAAGCGUCUGUAGGUGGUCAAAUAAGUCAACUGUUAAAUCUUGAGGCUCAACCUCAAAAUCGCAGUCGAAACUAUUCGACUAGAGUAUAGUAGGGGUAAAGGGAAUUUCCAGUGGAGCGGUGAAAUGCGUAGAGAUUGGAAGGAACACCGAUGGCGAAGGCACUUUACUGGGCUAUUACUAACACUGAGAGACGAAAGCUAGGGUAGCAAAUGGG